UGGCGUUUGUACGGUUUUGCUUUUAUGAAACUUAAUUUAAUUUAGUUAAGGAUUUGAAGCAUAUUCAGUCAACGUCCGUUUAAUCAGAAGUAACGUUUUUUUUUGCCUCACUGUUUGUCCUUUGUUUGACCAACGUUAGCUCAGCUCACCCCAGGCACAUAUUUGUGACUUUGUUGUUGUAUGCGGCUAUUUCAUCCUAUUUUUAUGCAGGUUCAAUGUCCUAACCAGAUAACUCAUGUGGAGGAGCUUGCUGCUGAAGGGCACCGCCUGUCUCUCGCAGGUGGCAGCCCCGAGGUUUCUCCACCAAAGACAUUUUUCACCCAUCUGUGUGAGACUUCUCACUCAGAGGGUCCUCCACAGACCUUCUGAGGCUCCAUGUGGUUUAGAGAUUCAGGGUAAGGCCUGCUUCCCGGCACACAGUGGGAGCAGGGCUUAUAAAAAGGAUGCUAAGUCUACUGUAGAGUUUACUUUGAGCCCCAUCACAGUCACAGACAUCAAACAGUAUCUGCGCUCCAAAGACAUUCCCUUCCACGAUGGCUACAGCUGCCUCCACAUCCAGAGCAUCUUUGUCGAGUCGUCUGCCAGGAAGGACAGCUUCACCUUGUUCAUCGAUAAAACCACCGGGCAGUUUCUGUGUAAAGACACUUUGGUGGAAGGCAGCUGGGAGGAUCUCCAGGACUGUCUGGAGGUGAUGCAGAAGGAGGAGCAGGACUUCCUCAGCCCUCAUGUGCUAUUGGGGUAUCCAGAGAGUGUGGAGGAGCAGGAGGAGAGGGAGAGAGAGCUGAGGGAGGUGCAGAGGAUCUGGUCCAGCUCUGUUCCCUUCACUGAUGUCCCUGAGGACGAGGCUCAGCUCAUUAAAACCAUGUUCAAGAUCACAAAGGUCUCUAAUGCAACCCUGAAGAAGUUUGGUGUUAGGGUCUUCAAGCCUACCAAGAGUCUGGUUUUCCCAUGGUUUGGUGGACCUGACUGCUCCCUAAAGGGUGUGAAGCUUCUCUCCGCCCAAAUCACAGAAACUGAGAAAGUUACUUAUAAUGAAGCUACACUCCCGAAGUAUAAUUCUUACUACAACCUGUUUGGCCUCCCGCUGGUGGGCCGUAUGGACUCGGAGGUGGUGUUGACUGGACAUGAGCUGGACACUCUGGCUGUGAGCCAGGCCACAGGACUCCCCAGUGUUGCUCUUCCACGUGGGGUCAGCUGCCUUCCGCCGAUCCUGCUGCCUUACCUGGAACAGUUCAAGCGUGUGACGCUGUGGCUGGGAGGCGAUAUUCGCUCCUGGGAGGCGUCAAAGAUCUUUUCACGCAAAUUGGGUCUGAGGCGCUGCUCGCUUGUGCGGCCCGGAGAGUAUCGGCCGUGUCCUGUGGAGGCGCUGGCGCAUGGGAAGAACUUCAGCCACAUCAUAAAAUCCUCCAUCCCAGCAGCCCACAAAUCCAUAGUGUCCUUCAAGCAGCUCAGAGAGGAUGUGUACGGGGAACUGGUGAACACAGAGCAAGUGGCUGGAGUGAAGUGGACGAGGUUUCUGGAACUCAACAGGAUCCUGAAGGGACACCGCAAGGGGGAGCUGACUGUUUUCACAGGGCCUACUGGCAGUGGGAAGACCACCUUUAUCAGUGAGCUUGCCCUGGACCUUUGCAUGCAGGGCGUCAACACGUUAUGGGGCAGCUUUGAGAUCAACAACGUGCGUCUGGCUAAGAUCAUGCUGACACAGUUUGCCAUGCAGAGGCUGGAGGAAAACCUGGAGCAGUACGACUUCUGGGCAGACAAGUUUGAAGAGCUGCCACUCUACUUUAUGACGUUCCACGGGCAGCAGAACAUCAAGACAGUAAUUGACACUAUGCAACAUGCUGUCUACCUGUAUGAUAUCAACCAUGUCGUCAUUGACAACCUGCAGUUCAUGAUGGGGCAGGAAAACCUCUCAGUAGACAAGUUUGCAGUCCAGGACCACAUUAUUGGAGCAUUCAGGAAGUUUGCCACCAACAGCAGCUGCCACGUCACUCUGAUCAUUCACCCCAGGAAAGAAGAGGAUGACCGAGAACUGCAAACAGCAUCCAUCUUUGGUUCAGCAAAGGCCAGCCAAGAAGCCGACAACGUCCUCAUUCUGCAGGAGAAGAAGCUGGUGACGUGUCCCGGCCGCAGGUCCCUGCAGGUGACCAAGAACCGUUUCGAUGGAGACGUGGGCAUCUUCCCACUGGAUUUCAUCAAGUCUUCGCUCACUUUCGCUACUCCCAUGAAGGGCAAGCACAAGCUGAGGAAGGUCACUGUCAAGCCAGAAAACGAGGAAGGUGAGGAGGUCGAGGUGGUGGUGAAGAAGGAAGUUAAAAAAGAGAAAGCGGCCAAAACAACAAAGAUUUCACAAACUAUCAACAAUCCUGCAACUGGAAAUAAAAGCAAUAACAAUUAAUAGGCAGUAUGGAUAAUAUUUACUGUUGAUCAUAGGCCAGUUUUACCAAUUACACAUUUAUAAGUAUGUUGAAGUAAUGCAAAAUAUAUAUAUUCUAAAAUAUAUGAAAUUAAAGCUUUGAUUGUUAUUCACAUUCACACAGAUAAUACAUAGUUAAUCCAGGAAAAUGUGAGGUUACUAAAGGUUCAUUUCAUUGUUGAACAAAGAACAAAUGUUUCAACCAGCAUGUGAAAUAAUGAUUUUAACGUACAUGUUAAGCUUCUGUACAGUUUGUAAGGCAUUUCUGUGCAGGUACUUCUGUACAUAAACACUGAAUUCUCUGUUAACUUACUUGUUCUUUGAUGUUUUUGUUUGUUGUAAAAAAAAACUGUGACACCAAAGCUGCUGUUUUCAUGGUAGUUUUCAAUAUUUCACUGUAAAACACUGCUUGCCAGGAUGCCCCAAGCACUUGCUCAUAGCAUAGUGUGCUCUCUACUGACAUUUUGUACAAUGAUGAUUUAUUGAAUGAGCUGUUUUUUUUUAAAUAAAAGGCUUCUGAUGCA